rnacentral:sRNA from 1 species
GAGUUCCGCCUCCGAUACACUCGAGUCCGCCAAGCAUCACGCGUCUGAUGCUGCUGAUGCUGCCCAAGACGCUUUCGAUUCUGUCAAAGAGAAAACUACUGACAUGUGGGAUUCUGCGAAACAUCAAACUUCCGAUGCUGGAGAUUCUGCAGAAAAGCACUUUGAUGAUGCUGUCGACGCGGCCAAGGAUGCUUAUGAUUCUGCUAAAGACAAGACUUCGGAUACACUUGACUCUGUUAAGAAAGAAGGACAAGAAGCUUCCGACAGUACGAAAUCCCUCACUAGUGACGCUGGAGAUGCAAUUUUGGGUGCCUAUGAUGCUGCCAAAGAAAAGGCUUCCGAUGCAUGGGAGUCAACUAAGGAAAUGGUUUCUGAAGCAUAUGAACAAGCUGAGAAACACGCUGAUGAUGGCGCUGAUUCUGCUAAGGACUACGUCGAAGAUGCAAAAGACAAAGCUUCCGAUGUCUGGGAUUCUGCAAAGGAUAAAACGUCUGAUGUUUUCGACUCUUUAAAGGAACACGGUGAAGAUGCUUCUGAUAGUGCCAAGGACCUCGCAAAUGACGCAGAAGACGCAAUCAAAGAUACUUAUGAUUCGGCCAAAGAAAAAGCUUCCGAUGCUUUCGAUUCUGCAAAGGAACAUGGUGAAGAUGCGCAAGAAUCUGCCAAAGAAUAUUUCGAACAGGCUAAGGAAAAAGCUUCUGACGCACUCGACUCUGCUCAGAAACACGGAGAUGACGCUAAGGAAUCUGCUCAGGGAUAUUUCGAGCAAGCCAAGGAUAAGUCAUCGGAAAUUUGGGAUUCUGCCAAGAAGCACGGAGAGGAGGCAUCCGACUCUGCUAAAGAUUACUUUGAACAAGCGAAAGAUAAGGCUUCGGAUGCUGUGGAAUCUGCAAAGAAGCAAGGGGAGGAAACUUCCGACGCUGCAAAAGAACACGCUGAUCAUGCCAAAGGAAAAAUUGCCGAUGCCUGGGAUGCUACCAAAGACAAGGCUGAUGACGUGAAAGACACAGCUGGAGAAACAUUCGAGAACAUCCAUCAUUCAGCUACCACGGCUGUGGACGAGGCUAGAGAAAACGCUGCUGCAGCAAAGGACAAUGCUUCGGAAAGUGCAGAGUCUACUAAGUAUUCCAUCGUCGACACUGCCAAGGGUAUUGCUCAUAGUGCCGAGGAAAAGCUCGAGGGAGCUGCUUCUGUUGUUGGAGAUGCUGUUCAAUACGUCAAUGAUUCGGCCACUUCAGCUGUCAGCACCGUUGCUGACUCCGUAUCGUCCGCUGUUCACACAGUCGGAGAGAAACUUCACGACGCUGAAGAAGCUGCAUCAAAUUAUAUGCACGGAGCACAUGUGAGUUUUAUUGAUUUCAAUUUUACAAGUAUCAUGCAUUCAUUUUUAUUUCAGAAAUCCGCAUCGGAAGCUGCCCAUGAUACUAAGGAAGCAGUUACAUCGAAGGCCGCUGAAGUCGAG